AUUGAACGCUGGCGGCAGGCCUAACACAUGCAAGUCGAACGGUAACAGGAAACAGCUUGCUGUUUCGCUGACGAGUGGCGGACGGGUGAGUAAUGUCUGGGAAACUGCCUGAUGGAGGGGGAUAACUACUGGAAACGGUAGCUAAUACCGCAUAACGUCGCAAGACCAAAGAGGGGGACCCUCGGGCCUCUUGCCAUCGGAUGUGCCCAGAUGGGAUUAGCUUGUUGGUGGGGUAACGGCUCACCAAGGCGACGAUCCCUAGCUGGUCUGAGAGGAUGACCAGCCACACUGGAACUGAGACACGGUCCAGACUCCUACGGGAGGCAGCAGUGGGGAAUAUUGCACAAUGGGCGCAAGCCUGAUGCAGCCAUGCCGCGUGUAUGAAGAAGGCCUUCGGGUUGUAAAGUACUUUCAGCGGGGAGGAAGGGAGUAAAGUUAAUACCUUUGCUCAUUGACGUUACCCGCAGAAGAAGCACCGGCCAACUCCGUGCCAGCAGCCGCGGUAAUACGGAGGGUGCAAGCGUUAAUCGGAAUUACUGGGCGUAAAGCGCACGCAGGCGGUUUGUUAAGUCAGAUGUGAAAUCCCCGGGCUCAACCUGGGAACUGCAUCUGAUACUGGCAAGCUUGAGUCUCGUAGAGGGGGGUAGAAUUCCAGGUGUAGCGGUGAAAUGCGUAGAGAUCUGGAGGAAUACCGGUGGCGAAGGCGGCCCCCUGGACGAAGACUGACGCUCAGGUGCGAAAGCGUGGGGAGCAAACAGG
rnacentral:rRNA from 1 species